UACGUAGGGUGCGAGCGUUGUCCGGAAUUACUGGGCGUAAAGGGCUCGUAGGUGGUUUGUCGCGUCGUCUGUGAAAUUCCGGGGCUUAACUCCGGGCGUGCAGGCGAUACGGGCAUAACUUGAGUACUGUAGGGGUAACUGGAAUUCCUGGUGUAGCGGUGAAAUGCGCAGAUAUCAGGAGGAACACCGAUGGCGAAGGGCAGGUUAGCGUGGGCGAGUUACUGACGCUGAGGAAGCGGAAAGCAUGGGUAGCGAACAGGAUUAGACUACCCGUGUC
rnacentral:rRNA from 1 species